rnacentral:lncRNA from 1 species
AGUUGUACGCAUACCCAACUGAAGCUUUCUUCCCUUCUCCAGUGGAGUGCACCUGCACAGAAACUCUCUCUGUACCACGUACCUGCUGCCAGAAGCUGGGAAGGAGUGGUGCUGGUGAUUCAAAACUGAUUUUCCUGCCUCUUCGAUGCCUCUUUUAGUGACAUACAGUUAAGACCAGGCACUUAAAUCCACUUCUGAGGAGAAGAAUGAAAGCCAAGGCAGAUAUGAAAGAGCCAUGGACUGCUGACCUUUGAACCCUGAGAGGAGUGCAGAGCUCACUCAUAUUCUAAUGAAGUAUUUUUCUACCCUUAUUAUGAUUCUGACUCACUAUACUUCUUAUCAAAAUUACAUGAUGAGGAAUUGUAUGUUUGAAUAGCAGUCAAAUGAGAAGAGACUUUAUCAUUUAGCAAAUCUAUCUGCCCAAUUUCGUAGCUUGAGACAAUGCAAAAAUGUCAACCCAUGAUCUCUAUCCCAUUUUCUUUUGAUUAUCUCUACAGCUUGUAAAAAUCUCUGUACUUUUUUUCCAGUUUAAUUCUAUCUAGGUUAUAUUAUACAUUGAUUUA